rnacentral:rRNA from 1 species
GACGAACGCUGGCGGCGUACCUAAUACAUGCAAGUCGAGCGGACUUUCAAGAAGCUUGCUUUUUGAAAGUUAGCGGCGGACGGGUAAGUAACACGUGGGCAACCUGCCUGUAAGACGGGGAUAACUCCGGGAAACCGGGGCUAAUACCGGAUAAUAUCUUUCUUCGCAUGAAGGAAGGUUGAAAGGCGGCGCAAGCUGCCGCUUGCAGAUGGGCCCGCGGCGCAUUAGCUAGUUGGUGAGGUAACGGCUCACCAAGGCGACGAUGCGUAGCCGCACUGAGAGGGUGAUAGGCCACACUGGAACGGAGACCCGGCCCAGACUCCUACGUGAGGCAGCAGUAGGGAAUCUUCCGCAAUGGACGAAAGUCUGACGGAGCAACGCCGCGUGAGCGAAGAAGGUCUUCGGAUCGUAAAGCUCUGUUGUCAGGGAAGAACAAGUACCGUUCGAAUAGGGCGGUACCUUGACGGUACCUGACCAGAAAGCCACGGCUAACUACGUGCCAGCAGCCGCGGUAA